UUAAUAUAAUUCAAAUAUCUUAUAUUAGAGUAUAACAUUGAAGCUGUUGUUGAGGUUAAAUAACCUUUGAAUA
rnacentral:tRNA from 1 species